UUAAUAUGUAAUUAAUAACAUCAUUAAUGCGAUAUUUUAUUUCUUACUAUCUUGCCAGGUCUUGAAAAUCAGUGUGCAUUUGGCAUUUACAGUACAUUUCAAUUCAUAUUUGACUCAUGUCAAGUCUUGAAGACUCACAUAUGGCUAGUGGCUACUAUGCUGGAUAACAAAAACAGAGCGAGCUGAGCCACAGAUAGGUCUCAAUGGGAGUAAAUUCCACUGUCCUCUGAACUUUCCAGGACAUAUUGUAUUCUUCUGGUGUAAAGUGAAAAAAAUCUAUCAGUUGACUUCUGCCCUGUUGAGAUCAUUGCAUGGGAACCUGUGAAGCUGCAAUAAAAUCUUUUACCUAGACACACUUGGUAGCCAUUUCUUCUCAUCUGACACCCUGCUAGUUUAAGGGAAAGCUAUAGCUUUAUUAGUUCGAGGACGUUCUCCUUGGGGAUAGGAGGAAGGUAGGACAGGCAUAUUGUCUUUUUGCUCUCAGACAUGGUUUUGACUCUGACUGAUGACGUAUUCUUUCCAUUAAUAGCUGUCCCUGAACUUGGCUUUUGAAAGUCAAAAAUCAAGAAUUUCACUCUUAUCA
rnacentral:lncRNA from 1 species